rnacentral:rRNA from 1 species
UCAGGACGAACGCUGGCGGCGUGCUUAACACAUGCAAGUCGAACGAGACGAUUGAAAGCUUGCUUUUGAGAGUCGAGUGGCAAACGGGUGAGUAACGCGUAGACAACCUGCCGUAAAGAUGGGGACAACAGUUCGAAAGGACUGCUAAUACCGAAUGUUGUAGAGUUUCUGCAUGGGGAUUCUACUAAAGGUGGCCUCUACUUGUAAGCUAUCGCUUUACGAUGGGUCUGCGUCUGAUUAGCUAGUUGGUGGGGUAACGGCUUACCAAGGCGACGAUCAGUAGCCGGUCUGAGAGGAUGAACGGCCACAUUGGAACUGAGACACGGUCCAGACUCCUACGGGAGGCAGCAGUGGGGAAUCUUCCGCAAUGGGCGCAAGCCUGACGGAGCAACGCCGCGUGAGUGAAGAAGGGUUUCGACUCGUAAAGCUCUGUUGUCGGGGACGAAUGUCAGGACUCAAAAUAUGGGUUCUGAAUGACGGUACCUGACGAGGAAGCCACGGCUAACUACGUGCCAGCAGCCGCGGUAAUACGUAGGUGGCGAGCGUUGUCCGGAAUUAUUGGGCGUAAAGGGAGCGCAGGCGGGAAGGUAAGUCUAUCUUAAAAGUGCGGGGCUCAACCCCGUGAGGGGAUGGAAACUAUCUUUCUUGAGUGCAGGAGAGGAAAGCGGAAUUCCUAGUGUAGCGGUGAAAUGCGUAGAUAUUAGGAGGAACACCAGUGGCGAAGGCGGCUUUCUGGACUGUAACUGACGCUGAGGCUCGAAAGCGUGGGGAGCGAACAGGAUUAGAUACCCUGGUAGUCCACGCCGUAAACGAUGAAUGCUAGGUGUAGGAGGUAUCGACCCCUCCUGUGCCGGAGUUAACGCAAUAAGCAUUCCGCCUGGGGAGUACGGCCGCAAGGCUGAAACUCAAAUGAAUUGACGG